CUUCAACCGCGUGAUCGGGUUCCAAGGCACGGCGGUCGCUCUCCUGACGCUGCUGCAGUACCCGCACUUCACCUGGGCGCAGUACCAACCCACCAUUGCUCUCACCGUGACGCUGGCCGCCCUGUUCCUGAACCUGCUUCAUCCUCUUCACCUGUGCAGUAAGACCUACCUGUCGAGGGUUUUGUCCUUCGACCAGUCUCAUUCUCAGGAAAAGCCAAUCAAGGUCUGAAUGAUAUCUUGGUGCACUUGUUAUGUUUAAAGUCUUAGAGUAUAUAUUUAAUAUAGAGAACAAAUUAUAUUUUAUGUCGCGAAAAA